GAGAAGGUCAGGCUAGGUAGGGCUUGCCGAGCAUAUAACUCUCGUGGAGGGGUUUGGAGGAGUUGAGGAAAGGGGCUUGAGGAACAGAAAGAGGGAGAGAGAUCCAGGUGUAGGCAGCAGCGACCGUUUUCUCUUCUACCCCGUUUGGGCCUUUGGAUUUCCCAGACAGCUGUUGGCUGUUUUGAAAAUGCAAAAGAAUCUCCAUCCAUUGUGUGUCGUAGAACAGACUAUUCAUGAGCAGUAGCUGGAGGAGCAACUGUGCUUUGCUGCCUGCACAGCCAGGCUUCUUGGGAAGGGGCAGAUAUUUGCCAUGUGAUACCUCCGGUAUAAAUCUCCCAUUUACAAAGCAACCUUUGAAGCAAAGAGCCCUGCUUGUUGGUAGCUCCUGAAUGAGAACCAUUGAACACUGUCCAGCUUUCUUGGCAUGUGGGGAGGAUGCCAACCCUCAUAUUUGACAGGGAAGGAGGUUUGUAGUAUAGUUCCCCCCCCCCCCCUUUCUCUUUUUUCUCAGAAUAUCAGUAGGGAGACUAAAAGGGACAGAAAGCUCACUCAGUUUUGCAGAGGUCUUAGAAAAACCCAGAGCUGAAAGAAAGGGGCUGGAGGGAACAAGUAAGGGUGUGGAAGUGGUAAAAGGUAUCAUGGAAGAAUGGAAAAAGAGGAAGAAAAUGGGGGUGAAACUGGGAAAGGGGAAAGAAGAAGAAGACAUCCAGAAAGAAAGAGAUGUUGGGGUCAAGCAAAGAUCUUUGGAGGUCAGUGUGUAUCUCAUUACGCUCUGAAUUUGCAGCGAGAAAACAGAUCCUGUGGAGAUCCCUGUGAAACCUUGAAGACAAAGCUAGAUCUGUGUGGCUUCAGCUUUUGUGGGAAAGAGCCCAGAGCUUCAUAUGUGGCAGUGCUCAGGCCUGAUAUUUCUGUUCAGUACCGUGUGAACUAAUGCUAGAAAGAAGCACCUCUGAGCCUGCACAGAAGUGAGAAGGUAAUGCCUUUUCAUUACCACUGAGCAACUACUGCCUCUCAUCACAUACUUUGGAUCAAUGAGUGGGGCUUCAAGACACGUAGUAUGGCUCCAAUUCCAACAUUUUUAUUUUAUUUUAGUAGAAAUUAAGCACGGCAAGAGUGCAUUUCAGUUAAUGAAAGUGGCUGUGUGAAGCUGGGGUGUCUCUUCCAUGGAACUGGUGAGUUACCAUAUUUUGAAACACACAUGCACACUCAUCCUGCUUUGGUUUUUGGAACAAGUGCACCUUUCUUGCAAAUGAAUGGUUUUGGGAUCACAGAGGAGAAGAGGUGUGUGAGAGGCAAAUAGAAAAAUAAGGCAAAAUGAACAAUGUUUUUUUUCAGAAGAAUUUCUAGUCACUUUUCAAAAUAGCAUGUUCCCAGGAUGCUUUUUUUCAUCAGAAGCCUUGUGCCUCAUGAAGGACCAUCUUCCUCAGGAUUUUUGCAAAUAAAGCACAAGAAGAUACUCACAGGGGGUCCAGCACUUCCACGAGCACCUUUGGGUCCAGGAGCACCAACAGCACCCUGCAGUGGAUGAAAAGAAGAUAGCAUUAAGCGAAAGGAUUAUAGGAGACAGAGGCUUCACAUUAAAGAUUGUGAAGCAAUGAGGGAUCACUUACAGCAGGUCCGGGAGGUCCAGUGGCUCCAGCAGGGCCGGGAGCGCCAGCAUCACCUUUAGCACCAGCAUCACCAGGUUCACCUUUAGCACCAGGUUGGCCAUCAGUACCCUGUGGAUAAAAGAAAUCAGCAGCAUGAGACUAUAACUCACCUUGGGACCAGCCAUGCCAUCAGAGCCAGGGAAACCACGGCUUCCAGGAGCACCCUGUGAAUGGGAUAAAGAAUACUAGGUCUUUGAAGAUGGACACAACGUAAAUGAAGAGCCACAAGGUAAAGAACAAUGAGAUGUCACUUACGCUGUUACCCUUGGGACCAGGAGCGCCGCUGGGACCCUGCGGUCCAGCUGUGCCACGAGCACCAGGGAAACCAGGAGCGCCAGAAAUACCAGGAGCACCCUAGAAGAGAGAGCAGAGCUGAUAUUCUUGACCCCCAAAUGGAAGGCUGCUGUUCCUCAUUUAAAGAUGAACUUCUUCCUUACUUCACAUUGAUUCUUAUUGUUUCUGUGAGCUAACCAUAAGUGGAACAAAUUCAUCUGAAGGGUUUCCAGUGGCACAAGCUGUAAAAGGAUCUGUUGAGCGGGUCACCUUCAGACAAAUUAGAUGCUCUUGAUUCUCAUUCAAGCUAAAGCAGACUGGGAUAAAUGUUCAGCAGUAUCCAUCCUUAGAGCUUAAAGCGUUAAAAAGUGUGAUCACAGUCCCUUGUUCUACUACCCUUUGGAAAAGAGGAAUUUUUCUUGCGUUCUAUUAUGUAACCUGAACAAAUAAAUUUUUGUUGAUACCCAGUCUAUGUUUGUAGGAGGUGGAAAGAUGGUCAAGCCCAUCAAGGCAAUGAACUGAAAAGGGACAGAAGUGUAUACUUACUACUUGUCCAGGAGCACCAUUCUCACCAGGGCUGCCAGGCUCACCCUGAAAGAGAAGACAGAACAGAUGUUAAGCACCCAGUUGCACGAAGAGCAAGGAAAGGAAUUCUGUAUGAACGGAAGCAGGUGAACAGUUAAAAUGGACACUCACCUUGGGGCCAGCUGGACCAGCAUCACCUUUAGCACCAUCAAGACCACUGAAACCCUAGAAUGAAUGAUAUGGAAGAAUGGAGGAGAAGAAAAGGAAACAUUAGCAUCCAAGAAGCUGGUCUAGAAAAGGCGAACGUUCCAUGUUAGACUGCUCAGAAAAGAAAUCUGUGGGUUGCAUAUUAUAUUAUUUGGUUUAAAAGGUGAUGGGUUUCCUUUUUAAUAACUCUGCUGAAUCUAAAGAAGUCUGGAUCUGGUCAGUGCCUGGAUGGAAGACCAGCUGGGAACCCCAUGUAUACUAUCUUGAAUUUCACAGUGGAAGAAAGGCAAGUUAUCAAUGUAAUAAAUAAAUACACAUGAUAAUGCUUAAUUAAAAACACCCAUUUAGACACUU